rnacentral:rRNA from 1 species
UACGAAGGGGGCUAGCGUUGUUCGGAAUUACUGGGCGUAAAGCGCACGUAGGCGGGUUGUUAAGUCAGGGGUGAAAUCCUGGAGCUCAACUCCCAGAACUGCCUUUGAUACUGGCAACCUAGAGACUGGAAGAGGUUAGUGGAAUUCCCAGUGUAGAGGUGAAAUUCGUAGAUAUUGGGAAGAACACCCGUGGCGAAGGCGGCUCUCUGGGACGGUACUGACGCUGAGACGCGAAAGCGUGGGGAGCGAACAGG